GAGAAAGAGUCUCCCUCUGUUACCCAGUCUGGAGUACAGUGGUAUGAUCAUGGCUCGCUGACCCCUCAAUCUCUGGGGCUCAAACGACCUCCCACCUCAAUCUCCCCAAGUACCUGGGGCCACAGACAGGUACACACUGCCACACCAGGCUAAUUUUUUUAAUUUUAUUUUUUGUGGAGACAAGGUCUCUCCAUGUUGCCCCAGCUUGUCUCAAACACCUGGGUUACUCCCACUUGGUCUCCCAAAGUGCUGCGAUUACAGGCGUGAGCCACUGUGCCCACCUUCAGUUUUAAUGGGAGGUACAUUAAAACAUGGAUUACAUUUCACACAAUUUCAAAAACAAACAAAACAACUAGAUUUGCUCAAGAAGAUAGAAGAGGUCCCAGCGGUAUUUUUGUAUGACUUGAUCCUCACGGAGUCCUAAAUCUUGUAGAUUCAACUUCGUUUGUUUUUACAACAUGUGUAGAAGAGGAAUUUGAAAAAUUUACCCUGAUUCCACCCACAGAGGUUUAUUCCUGACCUCUUUCGAUGGAAUGACGCUUAAUUACUAUGACACCUGUGCUCAGAGGACAGCUCCGAAGCCUCUGAAGCCUCUGAAGAGCUGAUCCAUUCAGGAUGGGAAACCACGCAGGCAAACGAGAAUUAAACACCGAGAAGGCCAGUACGUGAAAUUAAGUCCAGGGAGCGUAAACUUUGUUUUUGCUGAUGGAGGUGUCCUCAGGCCCAAGUGGUCCAUGCACACAGCGGGUGCCGAUGUUGAGGGACUGUUUGUUAAAGGAAUGAAUCCUGACUGCCCAGGGUGUCUACGGAACAUCUCCAGACAUGCUCCUGCCCAGAGGCAGGUCCAGACGCCACAAGACUGGGUGACAUCUGAGGACAUCAAUGUGAAGAGGGCAGGAAAAGCCAUCCAUCCUCCCUGGAGAACAGCAGAGGUGGGACUGAAGCCCAGACACGUCAAGCCUCCAAGACAAACCUCCAAAUCCAACAUGCUGUCUGUCCCUCUCUUACACUUCCUCUUGCAAUUAUGUGUUGAAACCGACCCCUGUCACCAUACCUGUUUCACAGAAAGGAAAGCCUGAUCACUGAGAAAGUCACUUCCUUCCGGUCAUCCAAACCCAUGCCUGGAUUGCUGUGACACGGCUGUCAUGCCAUUGAGCGCUCAAUUCCCCGGGAAAUGUUUCCUUUCUGAUCUGACUCCAGCGUGCUGGCAAUUGACAGACCUAUUCGUGUAAAAUUUCUGUU